rnacentral:tRNA from 1 species
AUUCUUAUAGUUGAAUACAACGGUAGUUUUUCAAAUNUAUUAGUCCUGGUUAAAAUCCUGGUAAGAAUU